ACGGAGGGGGCGAGCGUUGUUCGGAAUCACUGGGUGUAAAGGGUGCGCAGGUGGUCAGUCAAGUCUGAUGUGAAAUCCCCGGGCUCACCCCGGGAACUGCAUUGGAAACUGGCUGGCUAGAGUACCGGAGAGGGAAGCGGAAUUCCUGGUGUAGCGGUGAAAUGCGUAGAUACCAGGAGGAACACCGGUGGCGAAGGCGGGUCUCUGGGCAUCUCCUGACGCUGAGGCGCGAAAGCGUGGGGAGCAAACG
rnacentral:rRNA from 1 species